CCUACGGGGGGCUGCAGUGGGGAAUAUUGGACAAUGGGGGCAACCCUGAUCCAGCCAUGCCGCGUGUGUGAAGAAGGCCCUCGGGUUGUAAAGCACUUUCAGUGAGGAAGAACGCCUGGUGGUUAAUACCCAUCAGGAAAGACAUCACUCACAGAAGAAGCACCGGCUAACUCCGUGCCAGCAGCCGCGGUAAUACGGAGGGUGCGAGUGUUAAUCGGAAUUACUGGGCGUAAAGCGCGCGUAGGUGGCUUGAUAAGCCGGUUGUGAAAGCCCCGGGCUCAACCUGGGAACGGCAUCCGGAACUGUCAAGCUAGAGUGCAGGAGAGGAAGGUAGAAUUCCCGGUGUAGCGGUGAAAUGCGUAGAGAUCGGGAGGAAUACCAGUGGCGAAGGCGGCCUUCUGGACUGACACUGACACUGAGGUGCGAAAGCGUGGGUAGCAAACAGGAUUAGAUACCCUUGUAGUC
rnacentral:rRNA from 1 species